rnacentral:rRNA from 1 species
UACGUAGGGUGCGAGCGUUGUCCGGAAUUACUGGGCGUAAAGAGCUCGUAGGUGGUUUGUCGCGUUGUUCGUGAAAACUUACAGCUUAACUGUGGGCGUGCGGGCGAUACGGGCAGACUGGAGUACUGCAGGGGAGACUGGAAUUCCUGGUGUAGCGGUGGAAUGCGCAGAUAUCAGGAGGAACACCGGUGGCGAAGGCGGGUCUUUGGGCAGUAACUGACGCUGAGGAGCGAAAGCGUGGGGAGCGAACAGG